rnacentral:rRNA from 1 species
GUCGAACGGCAGCACGGGAGCAAUCCUGGUGGCGAGUGGCGAACGGGUGAGUAAUACAUCGGAACGUGUCCUGUAGUGGGGGAUAGCCCGGCGAAAGCCGGAUUAAUACCGCAUACGCUCUACGGAGGAAAGGGGGGGAUCUUAGGACCUCUCGCUACAGGGGCGGCCGAUGGCAGAUUAGCUAGUUGGUGGGGUAAAGGCCUACCAAGGCGACGAUCUGUAGCUGGUCUGAGAGGACGACCAGCCACACUGGGACUGAGACACGGCCCAGACUCCUACGGGAGGCAGCAGUGGGGAAUUUUGGACAAUGGGGGCAACCCUGAUCCAGCAAUGCCGCGUGUGUGAAGAAGGCCUUCGGGUUGUAAAGCACUUUUGUCCGGAAAGAAAACUUCGGCCCUAAUACGGCGGGAGGAUGACGGUACCGGAAGAAUAAGCACCGGCUAACUACGUGCCAGCAGCCGCGGUAAUACGUAGGGUGCAAGCGUUAAUCGGAAUUACUGGGCGUAAAGCGUGCGCAGGCGGUUCGCUAAGACAGAUGUGAAAUCCCCGGGCUUAACCUGGGAACUGCAUUUGUGACUGGCGGGCUAGAGUAUGGCAGAGGGGGGUAGAAUUCCACGUGUAGCAGUGAAAUGCGUAGAGAUGUGGAGGAAUACCGAUGGCGAA